rnacentral:rRNA from 6 species
GCAGUCGAGCGGAUUGAUGGGAGCUUGCUCCCUGAAUCAGCGGCGGACGGGUGAGUAACACGUGGGUAACCUGCCUGUAAGACUGGGAUAACUCCGGGAAACCGGGGCUAAUACCGGAUAGUUCUUUUCCUCGCAUGAGGAAAAGUGGAAAGGCGGCUUCGGCUGCCACUUACAGAUGGACCCGCGGCGCAUUAGCUAGUUGGUGAGGUAACGGCUCACCAAGGCAACGAUGCGUAGCCGACCUGAGAGGGUGAUCGGCCACACUGGGACUGAGACACGGCCCAGACUCCUACGGGAGGCAGCAGUAGGGAAUCUUCCGCAAUGGACGAAAGUCUGACGGAGCAACGCCGCGUGAGUGAUGAAGGUUUUCGGAUCGUAAAGCUCUGUUGUUAGGGAAGAACAAGUGCCGUUCGAAUAGGGCGGCACCUUGACGGUACCUAACCAGAAAGCCACGGCUAACUACGUGCCAGCAGCCGCGGUAAUACGUAGGUGGCAAGCGUUGUCCGGAAUUAUUGGGCGUAAAGCGCGCGCAGGCGGUCUCUUAAGUCUGAUGUGAAAGCCCACGGCUCAACCGUGGAGGGUCAUUGGAAA